UACGAAGGGGGCUAGCGUUGCUCGGAAUCACUGGGCGUAAAGCGCACGUAGGCGGCUUUCUAAGUCAGGGGUGAAAUCCUGGAGCUCAACUCCAGAACUGCCUUUGAUACUGGAGAGCUCGAGUCCGGAAGAGGUGAGUGGAACUCCGAGUGUAGAGGUGAAGUUCGUAGAUAUUCGGAAGAACACCAGUGGCGAAGGCGGCUCACUGGUCCGGUACUGACGCUGAGGUGCGAAAGCGUGGGGAGCAAACAGG
rnacentral:rRNA from 1 species